CAAGUCGAGCGAACAGGAUGAGAAGCUUGCUUCUCUGAUGUUAGCGGCGGACGGGUGAGUAACACGUGGGUAACCUACCUAUAAGACUGGGAUAACUCCGGGAAACCGGGGCUAAUACCGGAUAAUAUUUUGAACCGCAUGGUUCAAUAGUGAAAGACGGUUUCGGCUGUCACUUAUAGAUGGACCCGCGCCGUAUUAGCUAGUUGGUAAGGUAAUGGCUUACCAAGGCGACGAUACGUAGCCGACCUGAGAGGGUGAUCGGCCACACUGGAACUGAGACACGGUCCAGACUCCUACGGGAGGCAGCAGUAGGGAAUCUUCCGCAAUGGGCGAAAGCCUGACGGAGCAACGCCGCGUGAGUGAUGAAGGUCUUCGGAUCGUAAAACUCUGUUGUUAGGGAAGAACAAAUUUGUUAUUAACUGAACAAGUCUUGACGGUACCUAACCGGAAAGCCACGGCUAACUACGUGCCAGCAGCCGCGGUAAUACGUAGGUGGCAAGCGUUAUCCGGAAUUAUUGGGCGUAAAGCGCGCGUAUGCGGUUUCUUAAUUCUGAUGUGAG
rnacentral:rRNA from 1 species